rnacentral:rRNA from 1 species
CCCUUAGAUGCUCUGGGCCGCACGCGCGCUACACUGGUCGAUGCAACGAGUUUCUUUCCUUGGCCGACAGGCCUGGGCAAUCUUUGAACAUCGAUCGUGAUCGGGAUAGAUUCUUGUAAUUUUUGAUCUUAAACGAGGAAUUCCUAGUAAACGCAAGUCAUCAGCUUGCAUUGAUUACGUCCCUGCCCUUUGUACACACCGCCCGUCGCACCUACCGAUUGAAUGGUCCGGUGAAAUCUCGGGACGGCGGCUUGGUCGCUUGCGUCCGACUGCUGAAACUUGAUUAAACCAUNUNAUUUAGNGGAAGGUGAANUCGUANCA